ACGGACAUAGAUGGUUGAAACAUCGGUUCCCGUACGAUAACUAAAGUUAAGCAAUGUUGAACCUGGUCAGUACAUAAAUGGGCAACCUUUUGGGAAGACCAAGUGCUGUAA